rnacentral:misc_RNA from 1 species
UUGCACACACGAGUUGCAGCCAACCCGCGGCGAACGACCCCAUUGUCCCUCUCUCGGUGGGUCGCGGCGCCUCGCGGCGGCGCGGCCGGCCACCUCCCCUCGUCGCGAGCGAGCUCGCGAGCUCGCGGCGUGGGGGGUUUCCACGCGAUGCCUUCACCUUGAUCGAAUGAAUGCCUGAGUCCCUCGACUUCGUAGGAAUGGAAUGAGUGAGUUCCGUCCCCUUGGCCUUCGGCGCGGCUCGGCUUCGGCUGGCUUUGCGGCGGAUGGAGGGGGGUCGGCGCCGGUCAUGCACCUUGCGAGUUGUGAAUCGUAACCUUACAAAAACAACUCUCAGCAACGGAUAUCUUGGCUCUUGCAACGAUGAAGAACGCAGCGAAAUGCGAUACGUAUUGUGAAUUGCAGAAUUCCGCGAAUCAUCGAGUCUUUGAACGCAAGUUGCGCCCGAGGCUUGUCCGAGGGCAUUUCCGCUAGAGCGUCACCGCGCCCCCCACCGAUCCGCUCCCGCCAGCCGGGAGUGCAAGUGUCGAGUGGAAGUGGCCGUCCCGGCGGGCGGGCGCCUCGCGCCUCCAGCCAGGGUCGGCUGAAAUGGAGGGAAUCGGGCCGCCGUGGCGACACAGUCCGCGAUCGGGUGAUUUUCGGGCUCCUCCUCCGGCCGGGGAAGGGCCCGGGAUUUUUCUAAGUGCGUGGCUGCGUCGCCCAGUCGGCUGUGGGUUGUUACCUCAUGCGAUGCAGGUCGUGCGCGCCCGCGCGGCGCGCGUCACGCAUCAGACCUC